GAUGAAGAACGCAGCGAAAUGCGAUAAGUAAUGUGAAUUGCAGAAUUCAGUGAAUCAUCGAAUCUUUGAACGCACCUUGCGCCCUUUGGCUAUUCCGAAGGGCAUGCCUGUUUGAGUAUCAUGAACUCCUCAACUCUUCACGGCUUGCCGUGAUGAGUUUGGACUUUGGGGGUCUUGCUGGCCUACGAGCCAGCUCCUCUCAAAUGUAUUAGCUUGCCGGUGUUUGGUGGCAUCACAGGUGUGAUAACUAUCUACGCUUGUGGUUUUCCACUAGGUAACCUUCAGCAAUGGAGGUUCACCGGAGCUCACAAAUGUCUCUCCUUGCCAAGGACAGAUUUUGACCAUUUGAUCUCAAAUCAGGUAGGACUACCCGCUGAACUUAAGCAUAUCAAUAAGCGGAGGA
rnacentral:misc_RNA from 1 species